rnacentral:misc_RNA from 1 species
GAUGAAGAACGUAGUGAAAUGCGAUAAGUAAUGUGAAUUGCAGAAUUCAGUGAAUCAUCGAAUCUUUGAACGCACAUUGCGCCCGCUAGUAUUCUGGCGGGCAUGCCUGUUCGAGCGUCAUUUCAACCAUCAAGCCCUGUUUAGGCUUGUGUUGGGGCCCUGCGGCUGCCGCAGCCCCCUAAAUGCAGUGGCGGGCUCGUUGUCACUCCGAGCGCAGUAGCGUAUCUCGCUCUGGGCGUGGCGGCGGGUGCUAGCCGUGAAACACCCACUAAGGUUGACCUCGGAUCAGGUAGGAAUACCCGCUGAACUUAAGCAUAUCAAAAGCGGAGGA